GCUCCCGAGGAAUCCAUUCCCAAUUUGCGUUCCCACUCCCACCACCGCUUCUUCCCGUAUCCCUUGUCCUCCCUAAUUUCCUCUCACAAAAAGCGGGUGCGGCGUCCUGCCACUCACCUCGGUCUCGGGGGGCGCCGUGCGGCGGGCGCCCGUGCUGCUGGUUUCGCUCCAGGGGAGAAGGGGCAGAGGGAGUAGAGCAGGUUAGGUCCGUUUGCGUUUUCUUUUGCGGGUUUGUAGGUCAAAAGCUCGGCGAGCACUUUCCGCUCCACCUCCUCACGCUCGGAAUCAAAUCGAUGCCCCCCCUGAUUUGGUUCCUGGUAUCGGUGCAUGAGCUUGCUCCAAGAGAUCUCCCUUUUGGUUCGGCGUCAGGGGUUCUGUGAGGUCACGCGGCUUCUUCCUCUUGGCGCUCCUCACAUGUCCGGGCGCUUCGAUCUCUGCCCACUGCGCGAGUGAUUCUGCUGCUGCAGCAGCUGUUAGGUGCGCGCGGUCCGUUAUGGGGUGAACCGAAGCGUUCCUCGCAGGGCUGUGGGUUUAUUACGCCGCCUGUUUGCUUCCCCGCUCCAUGUCCUUGUGCCCAUGCUUCUUUGCUUUUGUCACGCCUGAACCGUGUCUUCUUGUAGUAUCUGAGGCUUGGCAGUUGGCAAGUACAAACUAGCAACUUGCUUAGGUAUAAAGUAUAAACCAGUGUCUGGUGCAGAGCCCAAAGGGGUCACGAAUCGUUGAUGCAUAGAUCUGCUUCUGGCUGAGAUAAGGCUCUAAGUUCGCUCUGUUGAUGGGGCUACCAUGAGCCACGGGAACGGGAUGUUGAAUUCUGUCAAGGUGGAGAGGUGGCCAGCAGCAGUCGCUGCAAAUGGCCAGCCUAGGCCGAUGGAUGUGCUCCACGACGGCAGCUCGCCGCCGUUCCUUACCAAGACGUAUGACAUGGUUGAUGACCCAACCACGAACGCCGUUGUGUCAUGGAGUGCCGCCAACAAUAGCUUUGUAGUUUGGGAUCCUCAUAUCUUUGGGACGGUGCUGCUGCCAAGGUACUUCAAGCACAACAACUUCUCCAGCUUUGUUCGGCAGCUCAAUACUUAUGUUGCCGUUCUUCCGUGUUUGUUUCUGCGGCUGUGGAACCAUGCACGGAGGGAUGAUGCGGCCGUGUGAAAGGUCGUUACUUUCCAUCUCCAGGUCUUAUCCAUUUACACUGCUCGCGGGUUGCAGUUUCUCCUCUGCUCGCUCAUCGUGUGCGGCAACCAAACAAAUCACGUUUUUCAUUACAAGUGUAGCAGGUAGCGGUGGCAACUCUUUCUAUUUGUGUUGCCACUCCCUACUUGGAACCAAACAGCACCUUAGUGUUUGGGAACUGUCAGCAUUUCUAAAUCGUGACUUUUUAAUAACUGGGAGAAUUGGUUGCUCGCUCUGUUGCACAGAAAAAUAUGUAACUAGCCAUGAAAAACCAUAUUGUUAGCAUGAUAGCAUGUGUGUCAUGUUUUUCUUUAUAAAUGUCCAGAAGAAGCUGGAAAAGCAAAGUUGCAAGUUUGUGCAGAAGUAAUCAAAGCAAGGGCUUCAGAAAGGUGGAUCCUGACAGAUGGGAAUUUGCUAAUGAGGAGUUUCUGAGAGGUCAGAGGCACCUCCUCAAAAACAUUAGGCGUCGGAAACCUCCACACUCAUCUCCAAAUCAACAAUCUCUUGGCUCUUACCUCGAGGUAGGACACUUUGGAUAUGAAGAAGAGAUUGAUCAGCUGAAGAGGGAUAAACAGCUCUUGAUGGCUGAGGUAGUGAAGCUGAGGCAGGAGCACCAAAAUACUAGAUCAGAUCUACAGGCCAUGGAAGAGAAAUUACAAGAUACCGAGCAGAAGCAGCAGCAGAUGAUGGCAUUCAUGGCACGCGUCAUGCAGAACCCUGAUUUCAUGCGUCAGCUGAUCUCCCAGCGGGAGAUGAGGAAGGAGCUCGAGGAUGCCAUCUCGAAGAAGAGAAGGCGCCGCAUUGACCAGGGACAUGAAGCUGGUAGCAUGGGCACUGGUUCUAGCCUGGAGCAAGGGCCACAGGGAGUGUUUGAACCGCAGGAGCCGGUGGAAUCACUCGCCAACGGUGUGCCAUCUGAUCUGGAGAGUUCGUCUGUUGAGGCGAAGGGAUUGGAGGUUCGACAGGGUGUUUCUUCAGGUGGUUCUGAGCAUCUGAAUGGCAGGCCAAGCGGAGAGUUAAAUGAUGAUUUCUGGGAGGACCUUCUGCACGAGGGGGGACUUGGUGCAGAUGCAGGCAAUGCUGUUGGUCAGGAUGAUAUGAACAUGGACAUGGACCCAGAUGUUAGCCUGCCUCAACUGAAACAACAUGGACCCAGACAUUAGCCGCUCUUGUGCUAUCACAAUGGCUGUGACUCUGUGAGUAUCUUUACAGUUAUGCUCGUUAUACCCCUGUGGUGUACCUGUUUCGAUCGUCUUCGACCAAAUGUCACGUCGACUGCAGUCUCCAGUUGUUAAUACAGUCUGUUCAGCACGCUGAUUUAAGUAUUUGGGUCAAGAUGUUCAUAUAAUCCUGUGGUAUCCAGAGAUAUUAUAGUUUGUUUUCGUAACUGUUUGCGCAGAGACCAUGCUAUGUUGCCUGCAGGCUAUCAGUGUAUUUGUUCUAACAGAUCGCAACGCUGGUACAACGCAGUGACCUGCCAGACUGGGCCACUAUGAGAUUGUAGGGAAAGACCAGAUAGCUUGUGUAUGUAAAAGCUGAUCCAUAGUAGCCUAUCAUGUGCAACGCUAUUGCCCUUUGGGAUUUGGCAUUUCACUGUAUAUAACAUAUCAUCGCCGUAUUGCCGCAUCCAUCGUUGUCUUGGUUUACCCAUUUAAGUUUGUUGUCUUCCCUUUUAGCUUACACAUGUACCGGCUCGGUCAGUGCCCGAGGAUCUAUUUGCGUGCAAAAGUGUUCUUUUUUCAAUUUCUGAAAUCUAGAGGCUUCUGUCUUCUUAUUCUGUUUGAUGCUACUUUUCCCUCGAGGGAAUUGUCUCAUGCUAGCAGUCCCUUCGACCGACCCUACGUUCAUCAUGCAAACUUGAAUGGUUUUUAUUCAUCAAACUUUGAAGUGGUACUACUGUGGUGGUGUUUGGUUCAUGCCUCGUUCUUAGAAUCUCAUUAUUAGCCAAACAGAUUCUGGAUGUUAUAUUGGAUUUGCCAGAAUCUCACAAUAUCAACAAAAGUUGAUAAUAUAAUUUGUAUUGGAUUUUGUGUAGUGUGCAACUUUUCAAAAUCUAUGGAGAACCAAAACCACCUAUGCAAGAAGACAUAACUUACAUGUCUACAUUGGGGCCAUUUCCGAAAUGGGCCUCGACAGAGAAUAGAAUAGCCUAAUCAAUUCAGUUGGUUAUUUCUUAUCUAGAAGCAAAAGAGAAAUUGCUAAUGCUAUUUUUACCCGUUUUGUCUUUAUCCUUUCCGCGUCCGACGAGUGCGCGGCGGCCGGUGAUGACUGGUCGCGACAGGUGUGCCGCGGGCCCCGCGGUGCCGUGCCGUGUGGAUCAGUCCCGAUCCUUCUCCCGCCUUCGGCCUUCCCCGCGCGCGCGCGCACGCACCAGCACCACCGCGAUAUAAAGCCCGCCACCAAUCCGCUCGUGGUCGUCGUCAUCAUCCCGAUUCCCGACACGCUUGUGUUGUCGCGAUUGGCAAGCUCGGCGGCUCGUGGCAGCGGGAACUUACGAGGCGAAGGAGAGCGAGGGCGACCGCGCGGAUCGCAUCGCAGCUCUGGGCGGAGGUGGGGCCUUGCGCGGAGAUGCUAGCGGUGUUCGAUCGGGCGGUGGCGCCGAGCCCGGAGGGGCUGCGGCAGCCGGGCGCCGCGGGGGGCGGCUGCGCGGCGGGCCUCGCGGACCGGUUCAGAGAGGCGCGGCCCGACGCGGUCACCGUCAACCUUGGCGGGUCCGGCGCCCUGGCGUACUCCUCGAGCAACCAGAACCCCCUCCUCCCCAGGUUGUUUGGCGCGGUGGACGGCGUAUUCUGCAUGUUCCAGGGAACAAUUGCGAACGUUGCUGUGCUGAAGCAGCAGUAUGGGUUGAGCAAAGGCGCUAAUGAGGUCAGCAUCAUCAUCGAGGCUUACAGGACCUUGAGGGACAGGGGCCCUUAUCCUGCAGAUCAGGUUGUGAGGGACAUAAGUGGGAAAUUUGCAUUUGUCCUGUAUGAUUGCUCCACUAAGUCGGUCUUCAUGGCUGCUGUAAGUGAACUACUCCUAUGUUGUACCAAAUUGUUUUUUUUUGGCUAUUCUCAUUAUUAACAUCUUAUGAGCAGACAUUUUGUCAAUAAAUUAGUCAGUGACUCAGUGGUGUUGUCCUUUUAAAAAGGAUUGUGCAUAGUGGUGUUCUGGUUGCUCUAUGUGGAUGAGAACUCAAAUCAUCUUGGGAUGCACAUAGAAUCGGCAUCAUAUAUAGUAGACAACUAAAGGUUUUGCUUAAGGUCGAAGUGGCAAUGCCAUUUUUUCAGCAGACUAUUGGAUCAUAGUGGUGCUAGUGCAGAACUGGCAGCAUAAAAUCGAAUCAAAUUCCCGCUAAUUGGGAUUAUGACACCUAUCUAGUGAGUAGUGAUGUCACUUUUUUUUCAAGUAAAAAAAAAUGAGACCUUCACUUCUAGACUAGUCUAGAGACCCCAGCCUAUUCUGUUCGUGUGAUCAGCAUCAUCUAUGUGACAUUUAUCAAUGUUUUGAGUUUCCACCUUCAACAAGAACAGCAACAUCACUAUCUACCUGCAUUUCACUAAAUUGGCUGGUUCUUGACGAUGCUUCUGCCUAACAUUUUCAUGUCAUCGUCCUACAUUUACAAAGAACAGAUGCAGCUGUUCAGUUAUUCCCGAAGACAUAUAUCUGAUCACAGGCUACUGCUACGACGUACAAUGGUACCACUGGUAUUGACCGGCAACUGAUAGGUAGCUCAGCUCGUGUUCGUAACCUCAUAACAGGACACCGAUGGAAAUGUUCCGUUCUACUGGGGCGUGGACACCGACGGGCGUCUUGUGGUCUCUGACGACGCCGAACUCGUGAAGAGUGCCUGUGGGAAAUCCUGUGCCCCGUUCCCCAAAGGCUUCUUCUUCACGACGUCCGGAGGGCUGAGGAGCUACGAGCACCCCAUGCACGAGGUGAAGCCGGUGCCGAGGGUGGACAGCAAGGGCGAGGUGUGCGGCACGACGUACACGGUCGACGCAAGCGCCAGGAAGGAGACCACCAUCCCAAGGGUCGGCAGCGCCGCCGACUGGUCUUCGCAGUACUAAAAUUCGUUAUCUUUCUCUGUGUGUGUUGAACGGGUUCGAGCGCAGGUAGCAGGGCGUCGCACGGGCGUGGCCCGUGUUUGUUCGCAUGGAAACCCUAGCUGUCUGGUGUUUAUCUGAAUGAAUAGACUGUUCUCUAUGAAUCAACACGGAUUUCUCUCUAAGUUCA